GCUCGCAACAAGAAGACCAGUCACUGUUGUCAUAGCACUACCCAGUCAGUGGGAUUGGAUAAAACUGGGAAAAUGAAACAUACCCGUUCCAACUCCAUACCGAGAAAAGGCAUUCCCCUCUGCCGGCCUCCGUGGCAGACAAAGAGCUGGUCUGAGGUCCUAAAGCUUUGUGUCCAGUCUCCGGUCUAUCUCAAGGCUUGGACAGGACAAAGCAAAGCUAGGGCUGGCUAAAGCAUGACCCUGAUCGGGCAUCUCUGUUGGGUCUUCUCGGCGAGAAGAACACCACUUGACGAACAGGUUCCAUUUCAAGGCAUGAGCGUGUCUCGUAGACAGUGCUCUUGCCGAAGUGGUGUAAACUACCUCCUGGGGUAGUUCACCUAGAACCUCCACGUCCCGUCCAGGGACCAGACAUGAAGUCUCCAGAGGUCUGGACGUGGGUGCCACAGAGUGCCCCAUCUAUGAGUCAGUAGUUCCUUCCUCAGAGGAAUCUGUCAGGGAGGGGCUGUCAUGAGGAGUAUUUGUUCCGGGA